CAUCAUCAUCAUCAUCAUCAUUUUUUUAAUCUUUUGUCCAUUAGACAUAAUUCACGAUUUUAUUUCUUUAAGUGAUAGUGUUUACAAUCUGAUGUAAAGAUAUUUAGUAGAUGCGGUGUAUGUUUCUUUGUGCAUGUAUUUAAUUUUAGUUCAAAGACAACUAACGUUUUUGUGCAUUUUAAUGCAUUUUCUAGUCCUUUCAGUUUUUUUGUUAUUUUAUGAAUUGGUUGUUGCACUAAAAUCUUUUUUGGUAUGCUACUGCAUAGAGUAGAAUAUUUAUUAUGACAAAUAGAGGUUUUUUUAUGAUUAUAAUUUCAUUUUCCGCUGUGAUAAAUGCUUGGCUCUGCCUCCAAUUCAUUAUGCAAAAAAUCUACUCUCUUAACAAACAUAGCAAGUAUGUCUUUAUUCUUGAGCAUUCAUACAUGGAUAGACUUCUAGUUCUUUCAUUUGUUUCUCUGUAGGAACUGCUACUUGAGGGUUGCAACAUGAACUAAAGGAAAUGCUUUUAUAAUUUGAUCAACGCUAAGUCUCAGUGCCUUUAUAGAUUUGAGUAGGGGUGUACAGUUUCAGUUUUGUUUUAGGUUCUACUUAUAAAAUAGAACCAAAUUAAAAUUUGGUAUGAUUUUGGUUCGGUUUUUGAUGUUUCGGUCAGGUUCUGAUUUCGAUUCUUGAAACAAUUUUUUGCAGUUGUUGUCAUGAAAAAGGCAUACUUGAAUUAUAGUUUAAGCUUUAAAGUUGGAUGUUUAUCAUAGUAUAUCAUAUAAUAUAUUUUUUUACUAUUUCUUAACUAUAUAAUCUUUAAUUAUAAGGUAAGUAUAUAAUUAAGGAUUAAACAUAUUAUAGAAUAUAUUAAUAUACUUAUAAUUAAUUACUAU
rnacentral:misc_RNA from 1 species